CCGCGACCCCAGGUCAGGCGGGACCACCCGCUGA
rnacentral:rRNA from 4 species